GAUGAACGCUAGCGGCAGGCUUAACACAUGCAAGUCGAGGGGUAUAGUAGCAAUACUAGAGACCGGCGCACGGGUGCGUAACGCGUAUGCAAUCUACCUUUUACAGAGGGAUAGCCCAGAGAAAUUUGGAUUAAUACCUCAUAGCAUUGCGAAAUGGCAUCAUUUUGCAAUUAAAGUCACAACGGUAAAAGAUGAGCAUGCGUCCCAUUAGCUAGUUGGUAAGGUAACGGCUUACCAAGGCAACGAUGGGUAGGGGUCCUGAGAGGGAGAUCCCCCACACUGGUACUGAGACGCGGACCAGACUCCUACGGGAGGCAGCAGUGAGGAAUAUUGGACAAUGGGCGCAAGCCUGAUCCAGCCAUGCCGCGUGCAGGAUGACGGUCCUAUGGAUUGUAAACUGCUUUUGUACGAGAAGAAACACUCCGACGUGUCGGAGCUUGACGGUAUCGUAAGAAUAAGGAUCCGGCUAAACUCCGUGCCAGCAGCCG
rnacentral:rRNA from 1 species